CUACGGGAGGCAGCAGUGGGGAAUAUUGCACAAUGGGCGCAAGCCUGAUGCAGCCAUGCCGCGUGUAUGAAGAAGGCCUUCGGGUUGUAAAGUACUUUCAGCGGGGAGGAAGGGAGUAAAGUUAAUACCUUUGCUCAUUGACGUUACCCGCAGAAGAAGCACCGGCUAACUCCGUGCCAGCAGCCGCAGGUAAUACGGAGGGUGCAAGCGUUAAUCGGAAUUACUGGGCGUAAAGCGCACGCAGGCGGUUUGUUAAGUCAGAUGUGAAAUCCCCGGGCUCAACCUGGGAACUGCAUCUGAUACUGGCAAGCUGGAGUCUCGUAGAGGGGGGUAGAAUUCCAGGUGUAGCGGUGAAAUGCGUAGAGAUCUGGAGGAAUACCGGUGGCGAAGGCGGCCCCCUGGACGAAGACUGACGCUCAGGUGCGAAAGCGUGGGGAGCAAACAGGAUUAGAUACCCGCGUAGUC
rnacentral:rRNA from 1 species